AGGGAAGCACAUAUUGUCAGAGUUUCCCCAACAGUCAUUCUUUCCCUGAACUCAUUCUUUCUUCCUUCUUCUUGUCCAGGCCCCUUCUAGGCUAAAUCCAACCCAGCCAAAUUCCUUCUUUAAGGCACCAGAUUUCAGUGCUGGGGUGUCCUGAGACAGCUCUCACCAUCACAGGGUGUUCUGUCCUACACUGAGUGCACACCGCUUCGCCAUCUGUAAUCCCCCACCUCACUUCUGAUUGAGCACGAGUUCUCCGUGCCCCAUCACGAUGCAUUUCCUAAAGCAGGAUGGGACACGCUCUGUAGCGCUUUAUGCCUCACAGAAUGAGAAACUCAGCAUGAGAGCCAGGCUGUCAAAUAGACCCGGCAGAGCAUGACUCUGUGUCUCAGUGAGGGCAUGCCGUGAGCAGUUCAUCAUCCCUCCAUCCCUGGUCAUCCACUCAGGCUGGCCCAGGCAGCCAAGACAACAUUGUUUACGUAAUAAUAAUUAACCUUUGCUGAACUCUUUCACUCCGGUGUGAUGACAGUUCCCCCAGAUGAAGGAUUGCUCUUGGUUUUCAUUCAGAAGAUCUCUUGGCUCUCAGGAGAAAAAAUACAACAGCAAACCCCCAUUUGAAAUGAAAUACAAGAGGAUUGGUUUUGCCCACUAUUCACUAUCAGCUCUGAUAGAUCUCCGUACAUACGCUGCUGUCUCACUCAGUACUACUAUCCUACCCCCAGAGCCAACAUCCUGCCAAGUGGUAUCUGUUUAAAACUCUCAAAUGCACAAAUUUGGCACAAAAACUGGAGCAAAGGGCAUUCCCCUGGUUACAGCAGCCGCGUGGAAUCUUCCCACCUCAAAGUCCAAGAUCCACUUCCAUCAGUUCAUUUCAGCUGCAAAACGAAAUGAACUCUUCUCGCUAGGCUUGCUCAGACUAAUAAGUACGAGGGGGAGCACAAAGCAGAAAUGCUGUACAAUGUAAUCAACUGUUGAAGGCACAAGCAGUUUUUCAGCUUGUAUUAAGACUGAUUCACUUGCAGCUGACGUCAGUACUCCCUCCCUACUCUCUUCGCCUUGGGAUUGGAGUAUGAUAAAUAUUACCUGUAAUGCCAUCUGCUGUACAGAGGCAGCACAGGGCUCCGAGGCUUCUCACGAUUUAUUUAGGAGUUAAUGUUGUGCUAGAGCAGAAUGCACUUUACUUCAGGCUUAUUUAACUCUGUUUCGACUUUAAUUAAAACCGCCUGUCCACUUGUAAUUUUAAAGUCAUCCAUUUCACAACAAAAACCAUGUUUGCCUUGCAGAGAAGUUAGGACAGCACAGUUAAUAUCAAACAGGAAACUGCUGUGAAAAUGACAGUGUUACCAGAAGUGCCCACAUGGAAGAUACAGGGUCAGGAGAUCGGUCUGAGGGAUCCACUUCCUACAGGAGCUCUUUCACAACCACGAGUACUUCUUGUUACUGCAAACUUCCUCAGGAUGAAAUCUCUUCCAAGUCUAUUACAAACCAUCUGCAUGGCGUGUCCAAAGAGAGCAGCCCAGGGCAGCCAACAAACAGCUCGAGCACCUCAUCCACUGUCAUUUAUGAAGACCCUGUUUAUUAAACCAGUCCUACUCUCAGUUAUCUUAAACAUCCAAAAAUGAAAUUAAACUAUUUAA